AAUGCUUUCAGUUGCGUUUGCAAUAGAGAAAUCAACUUGAACGCUUAGCUGAAAGGACUGUCAACCGUUCAAGGCUAAGUAUUGUCCCUCCAUACACAUAUGAGCCGAUCUGUUUUCAGACGUACACUACCUAUUCACUUGCACGGACGUGGUACGAACUUCUGAAUAUGAAGGUGCUGGCUAUCCUGCUCGCUCUCUGUGCGUUGGCAACCCUGACGUUGGCUGACCCCCAGUGUCCAGCCCACGACGGCGCCACGCCCACCUACUACGCUGACGAGUCAGACCCUAACGGCUUCUGGGAAUGCAGCAAUGGCGUAGCCAUUCACCAGAACUGUGCUCCAGGACUCGCCUGGAACAUCCACAUCAACGCCUGUGACUGGCCUUAAGCGAGCAACUGCAUAAUCAGAAUAGUCCACUGGCAUUCUCUGCACUUUUCUCUAUUACCUAAGGGCAGUGUCACACUUAUAUGCUUGUAUACGUGUGAAACACCCCACGUUGACGCUAGUCUCAGGUUUUCUGAUGUAAAUUAACAACAAAAUUCGAAACAAAUAUACAAGAGUUUUAAUGUGA
rnacentral:lncRNA from 1 species